CGGAGGAAAAGAAACUAACAAGGAUUCCCCUAGUAACUGCGAGUGAAGAGGGAAAAGCUCAAAUUUAAAAUCUGGCUUCCUUAGGUUGUCCGAGUUGUAAUCUAGAGAAGUGUCAUCCGCGCCGGACCGUGUACAAGUCUCCUGGAACGGAGCGUCAUAGAGGGUGAGAAUCCCGUCUUCGACACGGACUACCGGGGCUUUGUGAUGCGCUCUCAAAGAGUCGAGUUGUUUGGGAAUGCAGCUCAAAAUGGGUGGUAAAUUCCAUCUAAAGCUAAAUAUUGGCGAGAGACCGAUAGCGAACAAGUACCGUGAGGGAAAGAUGAAAAGAACUUUGGAAAGAGAGUUAAACAGUACGUGAAAUUGCUGAAAGGGAAACGCUUGAAGUCAGUCGCGUUGGUCGAGAAUCAGCCUUGCUUUUGCAUGGCUUAUUUCGCGGUUCAACGGGUCAGCAUCAAUUUUGAUCAUUGGAUAAAGAUGAGAGGAAUGUGGCAUUCUUUUGGAUGUGUUAUAGCCUUUUGUUGCAUACAGUGGUUGGGAUUGAGGAACUCAGCACGCCGCAAGGCCGGGAGCAAUCCACGUUCGUUCGUGCUUAGGAUGCUGGCAUAAUGGCUUUAAUCGACCCGUCUUGAAACACGGACCAAGGAGUCUAACAUGCCUGCAAGUGUUUGGGUGUAAAACCCAUGCGCGCAAUGAAAGUGAAAGUUGAGAUCCCUGUCGUGGGGAGCAUCGACGCCCGGACCAGACCUUUUGUGACGGAUCCGCGGUAGAGCAUGUAUGUUGGGACCCGAAAGAUGGUGAACUAUGCCUGAAUAGGGUGAAGCCAGAGGAAACUCUGGUGGAGGCUCGUAGCGAUUCUGACGUGCAAAUCGAUCGUCAAAUUUGGGUAUAGGGGCGAAAGACUAAUCGAACCAUCUAGUAGCUGGUUCCUGCCGAAGUUUCCCUCAGGA
rnacentral:rRNA from 1 species